UUUAAUUCGAUGCAAACGCGAAGAACCUUACCUGGUCUUGACAUCCACAGAACUUUCCAGAGAUGGAUUGGUGCCUUCGGGAACUGUGAGACAGGUGCUGCAUGGCUGUCGUCAGCUUCGUGUUGUGAAAUGUUGGGUUAAGUCCCGCAACGAGCGCAACCCUUAUCCUUUGUUGCCAGCGGUCCGGCCGGGAACUCAAAGGAGACUGCCAGUGAUAAACUGGAGGAAGGUGGGGAUGACGUCAAGUCAUCAUGGCCCUUACGACCAGGGCUACACACGUGCUACAAUGGCGCAUACAAAGAGAAGCGACCUCGCGAGAGCAAGCGGACCUCAUAAAGUGCGUCGUAGUCCGGAUUGGAGUCUGCAACUCGACUCCAUGAAGUCGGAAUCGC
rnacentral:rRNA from 1 species